rnacentral:rRNA from 1 species
AGUGAACGCUGGCGGUAGGCCUAACACAUGCAAGUCGAACGGCAGCACAGAGGAGCUUGCUCCUUGGGUGGCGAGUGGCGGACGGGUGAGGAAUACAUCGGAAUCUACUCUGUCGUGGGGGAUAACGUAGGGAAACUUACGCUAAUACCGCAUACGACCUCCGGGUGAAAGCAGGGGAUCUUCGGACCUUGCGCGAUUGAAUGAGCCGAUGUCGGAUUAGCUAGUUGGCGGGGUAAAGACCCACCAAGGCGACGAACCGUAGAUGGUCUGAGAGGAGAAUCAGCCACACUGGAAGUGCGACGUGGUCCAGCCUCUGACGGGAGGCGAAAGUGGGGAAUAGUGGUCAAUGGGCGCAAGCAUUAGCCAGCCAUACCGGGUGGGUGAAGAAGGCCUUCGGGUUGUAAUGCCCUUAUGUUGGGAAAGAAAUCCAGCUGGCUAAUAACCGGUUGGGAUGACGGUACCCAAAGAAUAAGCACCGGCUAACUUCGUGCCAGCAGCCGCUGUAA